UACGUAGGUGGCGAGCGUUGUCCGGAAUUACUGGGCGUAAAGGAUGAGUAGGCGGCCUAUUAAGUCGGGCGUGAAAUAUCAGGGCUCAACCCUGAUCUUGCAUUCGAUACUGGUAGGCUUGAGGGCAGGAGAGGAAAGCGGAAUUCCCGGUGUAGCGGUAAAAUGCGUAGAUAUCGGGAGGAACACCAGUGGCGAAGGCGGCUUUCUGGACUGUACCUGACGCUGAGUCAUGAAAGCCAGGGGAGCAAACGGG
rnacentral:rRNA from 1 species